rnacentral:rRNA from 1 species
GGGUCAGUAGGUUGGUCGUGCCACCGGCACGUACUGGUCUCACUGAUUCCUCCUUCCUGAAGAACCGUAAUGCCAUUAAUUUGGUGUUGCGGGGAAACAGGACUGUUACUUUGAAAAAUUAGAGUGUUUAAAGCAAGCUAACGCUUGAAUACAUUAGCAUGGAAUAAUGAAAUAGGACGAUCGAUCCUAUUUUGUUGGUUUCUAGGAUUGACGUA